UCUGAUUCGUCACUUUGUCUGCCCCUCAAU
rnacentral:piRNA from 1 species